rnacentral:snRNA from 1 species
GAAUGUGAGAGUGAUCUGUCUGUGACAUGUCACCCCAGUGAUCACUAGGGGUGAUUCAGCUGAUCUGGCUGGCUAGGCAGGUGUCCCCUUCUUUCCUCAACACUCCAUAUAUAUCCCUCCCCAAGCUGUGUGCUCAGAUGAAGAGGACAAUCUUCCCCAGAGAGAACUGGUCUUUUGGUGACGAAUACCUGCGUUCCCCUGCCAGAGCCUCCAAACAAGCUCUCAAAGAAUACUCAGUGAGACUUUCUUUACAAUAGCCCCACACUGAAGACACCCAAAAUGCCUGAUGGUAAAGAGAGUAAAUU